AUCAUAUGAAUCACUCUAAACGUUAAGUGUUGAAUGGGUAUUAGGAAGGGAUUGAUCAAGUCUAGUAUUUUAGUUUUAAUACGACAAUCGCUUUCACAAUGAAACAAGUAAGUGUAUUUUCUUAAAUUUUAAAUCAUUCUAUUUUUACAUGGUGUUAUUUAGUGGGUAUAUUCAAACUGUUCUUAAAAAAUUUAACAACAAUCCUAAUUUAAGACAGCUAUGACUAGAAUGGUAUUUUAGUUCUAAUACGACAAUCGCUUUCACAAUGAAACAAGUAGGUUAGAAUAUCUCGAGAACCUAGGAUGAUGGGCCAUUUCUGAGCUGGGAUUCAUAAUCAGCGCACCAAAAUCCUUUGGGUACACUAAAUCCGGUCUCUGGUUCAAGACUUUCGUAAAAUUUUGUCGGCCUUUGUUAUUAUUGAUUGAUUAAUUAUUAAUUGAAAAAUCAUCAACAUAAAGGAGAAACUUAGAAUUUUUAAUAUAUCCACCCAUGUCCUUAAUAAAAACAAGGAAUAACAGGGGUUCAAGAUGGGCGCCCUGAGGAACACAAGAUGUACUGUGAACUAAUUUAGAAAAAUGCCCAUUAAUUGCUACCAUUUGUGAGCUAUCUAAAUGUAAGAAGUAAACCAACGUAGGAAUUUACCAUGUACAGGUUAUAUCUCACCCGCACUCAAAACAUGUCGGUCGUCUCAGCCAUGGUACCACUGAUGAGAACUAAUACGUUCGAAAUUAGUCCAUGCCUGCUGAUUCCGUUAACGACUAAUCUUAGCUGUUUACUGAAUAUUCCGUAUGCUAGAAGGAACCUGUCGCUCGCAGAGUA